CCUACGGGUGGCAGCAGUGAGGAAUAUUGGUCAAUGGGCGGGAGCCUGAACCAGCCAAGCCGCGUGAGGGAAGAAGGUACAGCGUAUCGUAAACCUCUUUUAUCAGGGAACAAAGUCGAGGACUAGUCCCCCUCUGAGGGUACCUGAAGAAAAAGCAUCGGCUAACUCCGUGCCAGCAGCCGCGGUAAUACGGAGGAUGCGAGCGUUAUCCGGAUUUAUUGGGUUUAAAGGGUGCGCAGGCGGCCUGUUAAGUCAGCGGUAAAAGCGCGGGGCUCAACCCCGGCGAGCCGUUGAAACUGGGGGGCUGGAGUGGGAGAGAAGUACGCGGAAUGCGCGGUGUAGCGGUGAAAUGCUUAGAUAUCGCGCAGAACCACGAUCGCGAAGGCAGCGUACCGGCUCGAAACUGACGCUGAGGCACGAAAGCGUGGGUAUCGAACAGGAUUAGAUACCCGAGUAGUC
rnacentral:rRNA from 1 species